ensembl:lncRNA
AGAGAGCACCACCAUGGCAGCCAGGCUGAGAACCCUGCCGAUGAACUGCAGGAGGAAUUUAGACCCAAGGCCAAGAGGAGCUGCAAAGCCUUGCCCAUCUUCUCUGUGUCUCUGCCCUCGGAAGGCCUUCCAUCCAGCAGUGCAAAUGGCACCAAGCAGGCUCAGCCCAGCUUCGCUCCUGCCCCUUGUUUGACUGCAAAACUGCAGAAGAGCACAGAGAGCUGCAAGACUGAUGGGCUCAGCACAGGCAAAGAGGGGAUGUUCCAACCUGCCCCUCUUCUGCAGAAAUGUGUUCAGAGCCAGAAACCAUCAGGGAAGUGUCAGAAGAAAUCCAAACACCUGGAAAUGCCGAAGAGCAGAAAGAGAUCCUUCCUGAGAAUGGACGACCCCUUUGACGCUGCAAGUACCUGUGAUGUGGUCACUGUCCCCAGGAAGGUCGUGAAGAUCUCGUAGUCCACCAUGCAGAGCAGCUCCUCGCCGGCCACAUGAGGAGCUUCCCUUCAACACCCACCCGUGCCCCAAAAGCUCCUUCACGCAGUCCAGUAUUAAUGUUUUCACAUUAUUAAUUUAUAGUGCUUAUGAUAGAAUAUAUAGUUAUUUCUUUAGGUAUAGGUGUGCAAAUUACAUUGUUUGUGUUCAGUAAAGACACUGUUAUAUAUUAAAAUCUCUUUCCUUUAUAUAAGAAAUCAUAUUUGCACGUGUUUUUUGGGGGGAGAUGGGGUUGAAGGAGGCACAUGAUUAUUUUGUUGUUGUUGUUGUCAAUAAAAUUCAAUGAAAAUGAGAUGGAUGGAUCGGAUGAUCUCCGUGGUCUUUUCCCACCUCUAUAAGUAAGACUCAUCCCCAUGGUCUGGGCACCCAAAUAGAUAUCCAUGAUAUGUAUCCAUGAAAGAUACAUGGCUGAGUGCAUCCCAAGACUGAACACAUUCUGAAAGUAAGCAAAAGAAGUUCUACAACAGUCCAGCAGGCUGGAGGGAGGGGAGCUGCAGAGGGGGAUCUGAAGUGCUCCUGUCCCAACCAGAGAAACAGCCAGGGCCAUGCAGAGAGGCAGAAGAGCUGCCCCAUUUGCACAGGGAAGGAGCAUCCCUGGGUGUAUGUUUUCCUGGGAAGGGCACCAGGCGCAGGCAGCGGGGAGCAUUCAGCAGGGCAUGGCCACACAGCACAGGGUCACAUCUCCUGAGUUCUUCGCCCUCUUUUCUUGUCUUUACCCCCUCCAUCUCCCUGUGCUCUGCAACUUCCUGGCCAUCCUCCCCCACCGUUUCCCAUUACUUCCUCUCCCUCCCCUUCCUGCCCCUUCCCAGCCCUCCACAACCUCCUGUUUCAGGUAUGUUCAGCGUUCUGCCAAGCAGGUUGUGCCUGUGGCCUCGCAAGUCCCUGCAGGAGGUGCAUCUCUGCCUGCUAACCUGGAACACGUGCUUGCUCCACUGCCCAGCUGCGAGCCAGGGCCGAGCCAUAGGUUUGCUUUCAUCCUCCCAGCUGUGCAGGAAGAACUCAUAGACUCAUGGAGUCCUACAAUGGCCUGCGUUGGAAGGGACCUCAAGCUCAAACCACCCUGCUGGAUGCAGGGUCACCAACCUCCAUAUCUAAGACUAGACCAGGCUGCCCACGGCCCCAUCCAGCCUGGCCUUGAACACCUCCAGGGAUGGACGGGGCAUCCACAGCCUCUCUGGGCAGCUGUUCCAGCACCGCAUCAAUCUCUCUGUACAGAAUUUCCCCAGUAUCCAACUUAAAUCUUCCCUCCCUCACAACUUAAAACAGCUUCCCCUAGUCCUGCCAUCAUCAUCCCUUGUAAAGAGUUGACUCCCCCUGUGUUUGUAGUCUCCCUUUACGUAUGGGAAGGCUGCAACGAGGUCACCUUGCAGCCUUCCCUUCUCCAGGCUGAACAAGCCCAGCUCCCUCAGCCUGUCCUCACAGGGGAGGUGCUGCAGCCCUCCAAUCAUCUUUGUGGCCCUCCUCUGGACCCUCUCCAACAGCUCCCUGUCUUUCAUGUAUUGGGGUCCCAGACCCGGACACAGUUCUGCAGAUGGGGCUCCACGAGGGCAGAGUAGAGAGAGACAAUC